ensembl:lncRNA
CACACACACACACACACACACACACACACACACACACACACAAACAAGUCAAGUUUCUGUUUCAAUGAAUAUUCAGGAGGCUUGUUGAGUUAGAAUCAGAGUCGCUUGCUUUUAAUAAGUUCACCAAAAAAACCGGCUGCUUGUGCUGCUGGCCAUCGACCAAUCACAAACGGGAGUCUACUACAGGAACUUUACACCAAUGACAAACACACAGGCACCGAAAAACACAAUUCGCCGUCUGUUAGGGUUUCUGUAAAAAACAACAACUAUUUAAACAUGGGAUGGGGGGGGGGGGUUCAGGUACAAAAUAAAGUCCACUGCAGUACAUCAGAACGGGUUGUUCAAGGACAUUCAUUUCCUCCACUCCGUCCAUUAGAAAAACAAACCAGACUCCCAUAUUCACUUCCAAAGCGGGGGCAGAUGCUAAGUGGCCGAGGAUGGAGAUAAAGAAGGGGUUUCCAAUCACUGCGGUGUCGGACUCAGACGGUUAUUAUUAACCACGGGCUAAGUAAGUUGAGAUCUAAUAUCGCCGGGCAGAAUGUUGGCUUGGCUCGUUGGCGAGUCAUUCAGAACUCACUCCACACGUCUCCUGUUUAAACACUUCCAUGUCCUCUGUAUAAACACUGGCUUUUGUUGUUUAAACAGCGGACGUUUCACCGUGCACCGUAGCGACGAAGCACUGCGCUUUUUCCAUUUUAAGGCCUAAUCUUAACAUCGCUUUCUUGUCCCGCAGAUGUUCACAGAAAGAGAAGGUUGGUUAUGGAUCGUGAAGUCACACCAAAUCAAUCUCUGGUGCUAGAGAUUAACAGAACUAAAUAAAAAUUCUGGGGCAUAUAAGAAUGCAGUUUCUGUGGAUGGAUGUAGAUGUUUACAUUUUUGUCGUGGCUUUUCCUGAUAACUGACCCCCGAUAGUCCAUAGCAAAGCUGGUUAGCCAGCUAGCUUGUUUGCUAGUCUUUACUGGCUCCCAAAGGCAUGAAAUACAUGUGGGACCAGACUUCCCAGUUUUCCGGGGCUCGUCUAUGCCCGGAGCUGUCGCCGGAAAUGUCUGUGUUUUAAAAAUAGGAUUCAAAAUGAUAUUCAUAGAUUUUUGACUGGCAAAGGUUAUAGCUAGCUCAUGAAUAUUAAUUUAGAGACAGUUGGUAAUUAGCCUUGUGUCUAUCUUACAGGCUGUGUGCUGAACUUGCUGUGCUGGGGGGUUCUAUACAUUUGAUAUAUAUAUAUAUCAAAUGUAAACCAUAAGCAGGCAUGAUCUGUCACUAUUAAUACGAUAAAGAACAAUUUCUUAUUUGAGAUGCCUACUUUGGCUUGUUUUUAGCUGGUCUACAGAGCUUUAACACAUAGAAAACCAUUUUGGUAUGUAGGCCUAUACUCAUAUUCAACUAUAGUAACCUACUACGUUUACUUUGGUCAACUUGUAUACGUCAAUGAGGGAGCGUUGCAGCAACCGUCCAGAAAUAAUAUAUUUUAAUUUGAUGCUUUGGACCAGAGAAAAACGAUUUUUUCCAGUUUUUCAUUUCAGAAAUCCGAUCACCUGGUGACAUCCACUGCAUAUUAACAAAAACCCAACUGCCUGGGCUUCGAGUCCAGAGUUGAAGCGCAUUUCUAAAGAGCCAUGGCUGGCAGGAGCGUUAACCUUCAAAUACAAUCCAUCUCCUUGCGCUUGUCUUCUCUGCUUUUUCCAAUAAACAAACGGGUUUCGUUCCAACGACGCCGGGGAGAUUCACACUCGGUGGAUUGCUUGGUUCUGUCCAAAACAUGGAUGCUGUUGACCGCGGUCUCCUUGACGACGGUGAGGCAGACUCGGUCGAUGAGCGAAUGCUACCACGAGACACCGAAUGAAAAUCGUGAGACCGGUGCUCAGGGCUUUAAACACGACGCAGUGACUCUGACGUUUGUGACGUUUAAACACGGUGACACGUCGAAACUAUGGCAUUUGUGCAAAGGAUUAAAAUUCAUUUAUUUGGAAAGUGACACAUGGGACAGACUCCCAGUCAGGAACGAAAAGCAUGUCUGGCGGGUUUAUUCUUUUGAGUCGGCUGCUGCAGAUGCUUCAGGGUCGAUGACAUUUAUAGAGAACCUUCGGAAAUCCCCCGUCCGUUCCCCACCCCGACACUAUAGAGGGAAGGGAUUAACUUUGUACCAUCCUCUCCUUCUCUCUCUCUCUCUGCUUCUCUUUCUCUCUCUCUCCACCCCCCUCUCCUGUCUCUGCUGUAGUUUGGUCUGGCUUUGCGAGACUACUGUUGUCCCUUUCUCCAAACUUUCUCUUUCGUCUCGUUCUCUCUGCCAUCUCUUUCUCCCAUAUCUCCGGUCUCUCUCUCUCUCUCUCUCUCUCUCUCUCUCUCUCUCUCUCUCUCUCCCCCCCCCCCCUCCCUCUCUCUCUCUCUCUCUCUCUCUCUCCCUCCCUCCCAUCUCUCCCUCCCAUUCUCUCUCUCUCUCCCUCUCCUCUCUCUCUCUCUCUCUCUCCCUCCCUCCCUCUCUCUCUCCCUCUCUCUCCCUCUCUAACCCUCUCCCUCCCUCUCUC